UGGGGAAUUUUGGACAAUGGGCGCAAGCCUGAUCCAGCUAUGCCGCGUGCGGGAAGAAGGCCUUCGGGUUGUAAACCGCUUUUGUCAGGGAAGAAAUCUUCUGAGUUAAUACCUCGGGAGGAUGACGGUACCUGAAGAAUAAGCACCGGCUAACUACGUGCCAGCAGCCGCGGUAAUACGUAGGGUGCAAGCGUUAAUCGGAAUUACUGGGCGUAAAGCGUGCGCAGGCGGUUUUGUAAGACAGAGGUGAAAUCCCCGGGCUCAACCUGGGAACUGCCUUUGUGACUGCAAGGCUUGAGUGCGGCAGAGGGGGAUGGAAUUCCGCGUGUAGCAGUGAAAUGCGUAGAUAUGCGGAGGAACACCGAUGGCGAAGGCAAUCCCCUGGGCCUGCACUGACGCUCAUGCACGAAAGCGUGGGGAGCAAAACAGGAUUAGAUACCCUGGUAGUCCACGCCCUAAAACGAUGUCAACUGGUUGUUGGGAAGGUUCCUUCUCAGUAACGUAGCUAACGCGUGAAGUUGACCGCCUGGGGAGUACGGCCGC
rnacentral:rRNA from 1 species